rnacentral:lncRNA from 1 species
CUCACAGUUGUAGUCCUACCUAUUCAGGACGCUGAGGCAGGAGGAUCACUUCAGCCGAGGAAGGAGUUCAAGUCCAGCCUGGACGGUCUCUAAAAAUAUUAAAAUUUAAAAAAAAUUCUGAACAUGCAACCCCAAUAUGUAUUUAUUUGUAAAUGAUAUACUGUCACUAAUACAUUGACAUUAAACAAGUAGAAAACAAUGUAACAUUUUAAUUUAUUGACUGAUAAUUAGUUCUAUUUUCAUUAAUAUUUUUUAAAAGAGCAAAACUGCUGAAUAGGCUUCUUUUAUUUUUGAGAAUCUUUGUUGAAAACUUUGUGGUGUAACAGUUUGAGGUCUCCUUCCAAGUCAAGUUUAUUUUAAAAUGUGGUUUUAAUGGCUGUCGUCACUUAAAAUAUCUCAAAAGAUAAGCAAGCCUACUUGAAAAAAUCACCCGGUCUCAGGGUUUACUAAAUCAAACUGCUCAUUUCGGUUGUAUGCACAAAUCACGCACAGGUUUUAACUGAAAUUUAAUUAGUUAAAUUUCCAUCUUCUUUGAAGUCCAUCAGUCUUUUUUUUAACAAACCAAUUAAACAGUAUCAAGGAAUAACUCAGAGAUUUUUAGUUAGUUGUUUUAUAUGCAAUUUGUUUACUUGUACAAGAAGAAAGGUCAAUAGACUGUUGUCAUGGAACAAAAUUCAAAACAGGAUGUAUAACAGAUAGGAGAGAGAAAAACCUGCUGGCAGCCUGGGAAUCGUGAAUCUUGCAGGCAUAUUUUUGGGGUAAACAAAUCAGUUGGCAGCUGAUAAAGAGAUCAGUCUGGGCGUUCUGGGUAGGACAACUAGUAUCAAAGAAAACAAUUAAGUGUGGACAGAUUUUUCGAACCCCCUGAUGGUAUGGCUGAGGAGCAUAUGAGGCUUGCUGCCUCUGGACGAGCUCUGCUGGCUCUCUUCCCUUCGCACGCCUUAAGUAAGCCAGAACUGCGCCACUGUCCUCCUUAGAAUUCCUCAAUAUAUUUAAAACUCAACCUCUCCAUUUGGAAGAUUUCUAAAAGAGGUUAGGAAUUUCAGUUUCUAAGAUAAGUGUGCAGAUAUGAGUUUUUAUAAGCAAUAUACAUCAUUUUUAGAGACAAAAAUCACAUAAUGUUGGAAAGAUUUCCAAACAUCUACUUUCAAAAAUGCUCUCCAUAAGAUUCUUUUGAAAACCAAAUACUGGCCGGGCGCAGUGGCUCAUGCCUGUAAUCCCAGCAUUUUGGGAGGCCGAGGUGGGUGGAUCACCUGAGGUCAGGAGUUCGAGACCAGCCUGGCCAACAUGGUGAAACCCCGUCUCUACUAAAAAUACAAAAAAUUAGCCAGGCAUGGUGGCAGGCACCUGUAAUCCUAGCUACUCAGGAGGCUGAGGCAGGAGAAUUGCUUGAACCCAGGAGGCAGAGGUUGCAGUGAGCCGAGAUAGCGCCACUGCACUCCAGCCUGAGCAACAAGAGCAAAACUCUGUCUCAAAAAAAAAAAAAUAAAUAAAACCCAAAUACUUUCCCACUCAUUGUUAAAAUAUCACCUUUGUUUUGAAGAAAGAGAUUGAGUCUGUUUGUUUUUGUGAAACUUUCUCCUGGGUAUCAUCCUAAUGACAGCUUCAUGUCAUCACAGAUGAGAAAAUGUAGAACACUCCUUAUAAAAGAAAAUAUAGUAACUAACUCAUUUUCAAGCUUGACAAUUCUUUUGAAUGCUUUACCACUGAUGAUCUGUGAUCUCUGUGUGGUACAAGAUUUUCAAGGUCGCUCCUUGCUGUGGUCUGGAUAUAUAUACGUCCCCACCAAACUCAUGCUGAAAUUUGAUCUCAUUGUGGUAGUGUUGGGGGUUGGGGCCUAAUGGGAGGAGUUCAGGUCAUGAGGGCUCUGUCCUCUUGGGUGGCUUGGUGCUGUUCUCAUGGCAGUGAGUUCUUGCUCUGGCAAGACUGGAUUAGUUCUCUCAGGAAUUGGUUAGUUCCUGCAAGAGUGGGUUAUUAUGAAGUCAGAACACCCACCUGGUUUUGCCUUUCUUCACACAUGUCCAUUUACCCAUUGAUCUUCUCUGCCAUAUUAUGACGCAGCCUGAAACCUCUCACCAGAAGCUAGAGCCAUGUGCUUGAACUUCCCAGCCUGCAGAACCAUGAACUAAAUCAACCUUUUUUAAAAAUAAAUUACCCAAUCUUAGGUAUUCUGUUAUCAUGAUGCAAAACAGACUAAGACAUCCCUCAUCACAAAACUCUGAAAAGAUUCUGCAAAAGGCCUUGUUUUUUCACCAAAUUUAGCCUUGUGAAUGGCACCCAAUAGCCUAUCCAAGCCACCAUAUAUGCCUGUGGUAGACUGCAUAAUGGUUACGGAUAACCAACAUUCCUCCUUAGGAUCCAGUCUCCCCUGCCACAUGUAUGCUUGGCUUGGCUAUGUGAUUUAUUUGGCCAAAAAAAGGUGAAUGACAGUGAUGUUUGCCACUUCUGACCAAAAGCCUUUGUAGCUAGUCUGCAAUGCACCAAUCUCUUUUUGUCUCUCUGCUACUGCAACUGGCAAUGCUCCAGAUUGAAGCUGCUUCAUCAGAUGGGACAUACUUAUGCUAAAUAUUUGGGACAUUCUCAUCCUAAAAAUUUUUUCACCGUUUAUCUGAAAUUCAAAUUUAACUUUGCGUCCUGUUCUUUCUCUGGCUAACCCAGUUGUAAGCCACUGACACUUAGGGAUCAUUUGUUUUGUCAGCAUAGCCCAAUCUUAUUUGACUAGCUCACCAUGGCCCAAGGAAGAGCACCUGUGUCAAUCUGUAUAUUACAUACUAGUAAAGCUUAAUUUUGCCCUUACUUUUCAUAUUAAAAAAAAAAGUUAGUCUUCCUGCACCUCAGGGGACUGUCUUUGGAGACCACUGUCCAAAGGUGUAGUCUACAGGGCAAGGUUGUCAGAAACUUAACAAUUGCACUAAAAAUGUAGACUAAUCAGCACUACCCCAGAGAUACUAGAUUCUGGAGGUGGCUGCAGGAUCUGUUUGCUAAACAAGUUCCUCAGGUGAUUAUGAGACAACUUCAAAUUCCACUGGCCUAUGUCUACUAUUUGACUUUUUAGAAAGCUAAGUAAGUAGGAGACCUGGGUACUAGUCCUAACUUUGUAUGAUGUUCAACAAGUCAAUCCUAUUCUCCUUUCUGGACUGCAUUGCUCUCAUCUAAAGAGGAAAGAGAUUGGCUCAGACAACCUCAAAUCUCUCUUUCAGCUCUAAAAGUCCAGGAUCAGGAGCCAGAAAUUCAGAACCUUCUAAGGUCCAGAAAGUAAACAAAUGAGGCUGGUUAGGGGUAAGACAUUAGGUUGUGGAAGGGCCCAGGGCAAACUGAAAAGGAUAUUCCCCAAAUGGUCCCUGAGUUUAGAAGGUUUUCAAGUUUGUCAUGCUCUGCCAGUGGGGCUAGAGAAGAACCGUGAGUACCCUGGGCACUCGUACUUUCGGCAGGAGCCCCAACCACAUUUGCCUUACUUAUGAAUGUCUUGCUGUAAAAGUUUUGGAAACUAUACAAAUAACUACAUGAAUUUACAAAUGACUGGGAUUUCUCAGAAAUCACUGCAUGCUGGGAGGAUUUUUGCUGAGAAAGUCUAAUCUACAAAUUGUUUUAGAAUGAAACAAACUGUAUGUCAAUACUAACUUUAAUAAUUAAUGACAUUGACAUUGCAGUAUUUUGGAGCUACUUCAUUAAACAUUUUUAGCUUUGAUUUUGCAGAUUAAAAAAAUAUUUUGGAGCCAACAACAUUGUUUUUAUGUCUCAAACAUUUUGAUGAGCAUUUUAAAAGCCUGUCAACCCCAGUCAUUUUCCCUCCGUUGCCUAAGGGCUGAAACAGUUCUGUCCGGGUGCUGUGCCUGGUGUCAGUGAUCAGACGGGACACCAGCCUUUGAGGAGCUCACAGUCGGGGAGGGAGGCAGAUACAAACAGGUAAUUUUUCUAUAAUGUGACAAGUGCAGGAUAAAGCAAUACAAGCGACUGGAACAAAGGAAGGAACCCUGAGGGGUAAGGAGGCAGAGGUGUCAGGAGAGAAGCCAGGUGAGGAAGAAAAAGGUAUUUUAGGCAGAGGAAAGCACCAGCAAACGUGGAGCUAUGGAACAAGUAGCUGGAGCAGCAGACAAGCAUGCUGCUCAUUCAUUCAACAAACACUCUUAGUAGCUAGAGCAUCAGGCACUGAAGAGGCAAGUAAACACGUGAGAGCCAUGGGUAGUUACAAGAGCCAGGAUAACUACACAGACAAGGCAGAGCAGGCCAUGGAUGAUGGGGUACAUCCCAAGUGGGUCCCUGGGGCAGGAGGACAGAGAUGGAGGAAACAGGCAGACACUGGUACAAUAUAAAAAUGAAAAUCAAUUCGUGUCUGAAAACUUGAAAUUCUAAGAGUAAUGUCUUAUUCUCCAUGUUUUCCCACAAAAUAUUUCAACUUCCUAUAUUAAAAACAG